rnacentral:SRP_RNA from 1 species
UUGCUGUGAUGGCCCGUGGCGGAAGUGUUAACGCUGUUAGCUUUUCAAUCCCUUCGGGGAGCGUGUUCCUGUUACAGUUUUGGACGAUGUCCGGUUCGAUCCUUGCGGUAGAAGGUCUUUUCGGAGAAUUUCUGCGGGUUUGGGUAGCCAACCUUAGCGGCCUUCGGCAGCGAACGGCGGUACCACUGGAGGGGAGCAAUCCAGCACAGUGCGUCAACCGUGAGGAGGCGAGCCGGGUGGCAUCUCGCUGGUCUUGCAAGGGCAUGGAGGAGCCUGUUAAACACACGACCCCCAACUU